UACACACCGCCCGUCACGUCAUGGGAGUCGGGAACACCUGAAGUCCGUGGGCCGACCGCCGUAAGGUGGAGGCAGCGGCCGAAGGUGGGCCUGGCGACUGGGACG
rnacentral:rRNA from 1 species